GCCCUGGGAGACAGUUUUACAUGUAAAUUACUACUCCUUGAUACCGGUAUAAUAUUAGUCCUAUAUUACUCUUCGUAAAAUCGCACUCAAUUGAUAUACUAGUAUUCGACAUUCCAAAAUCAGUUAUCUUAAUAUUAUCAAAAGUACAAGGAUUAUAAUUUAGUACGGCAGACGCGCGUUUCGUCUACACAAGACUUAAACUAACAUUUCCCUGUUAACCUUUAUCUGGCAAGCA
rnacentral:lncRNA from 1 species